rnacentral:rRNA from 1 species
GACGAACGCUGGCGGCGUGCCUAAUACAUGCAAGUCGAACGAGAGCGACCGGUGCUUGCUCUGGUCAAUCUAGUGGCGAACGGGUGAGUAACACGUGGGUAACCUGCCCAUCAGAGGGGGAUAACAUUCGGAAACGGAUGCUAAAACCGCAUAGGUCUUCGAACCGCAUGGUUUGAAGAGGAAAAGAGGCGCAAGCUUCUGCUGAUGGAUGGACCCGCGGUGCAUUAGCUAGUUGGUGAGGUAACGGCUCACCAAGGCCGUGAUGCAUAGCCGACCUGAGAGGGUGAUCGGCCACAUUGGGACUGAGACACGGCCCAAACUCCUACGGGAGGCAGCAGUAGGGAAUCUUCCGCAAUGGACGCAAGUCUGACGGAGCAACGCCGCGUGAGUGAAGAAGGUUUUCGGAUCGUAAAACUCUGUUGUUAGAGAAGAACAAGUGCUAGAGUAACUGUUAGCGCCUUGACGGUAUCUAACCAGAAAGCCACGGCUAACUACGUG